UGAACUCCACCUACAGCGGCUGCAAAAUUAAAGUGAUGAACACAUUAAUGCAUCAAUAAUUCUUCUAAAAUGGCCCAUUGUACAUAAUGAAUACUUUUGUUACUUUAAUAAUGUUUCCUGCAACUUGUGUUUAGCUUUGUAGUUUUGAAUAUGAAUGCUGUUGAUACCAGCUGUCAGUGCUGCAGUUCAUUAACUCGUCGCAAUGUGAUUGGCUCCACACGCGGCAAAUUCCUAUUUCCGUUUCCUCUGACAUUUGCGGGAUAUUUAAUAAACGGCACCGGAAGAAAUCGUGUUUUGGCCUUUAACAACUUUGUUUCAUACGGAAAUCGAAGCCUGCCAUCUUAAAGCCAUGUGUUUGAUCCUUUACAGUCUGCACGAUCUCCUCCUUCCUUACGGGAUUUUGUUGUUUUUUCUUUUAAUACGUUACCCAAAGCCAGGGAUGCUCUAGCUAGCCGUUCAGUGGUAAUAAUAAGUUUGUUUGAGAGUAUCGACCAAUCAGCGAUAGUGUUCUUAAAUUUUCGACCAAUCAGAUUCUGGGUUUCUGACUCUGUAGCAUCAGUCGCAUUUACAGAGACGGACAGCCGCAUAUUUCGAGAAGUUUGUCCUCACGCUAUAGCUACUUGUGAAAAAUGGCUUCAAUACGAAGACAUAAGAACGGAAAUGAUGAUGAUGAAGAAGGAGCAGCAGCUGGCAUUGAAGUUAUUCUUGAAAGCGACGUUGAUGUGGCGUCGGGUGCAGAGAGUUUCCUCACGGAUGAUGAAGGGACAUGAUCUAGCUGAAGAUAAUGGUUAUCCACAGAAUACCCCUUCCAAGAUCCAGACCCAGUGGUACAUGUAGUGUAUCAAGAGGCUGAAGCAGAACAAGAUCCAAGUCUCCAGUACAGACAUGGCAGAAGCCAGUACCCUCAGCCACGUCCUGGAAAAUGGAGAGCGAGGGAUCUAGACACAUGUGUUCAGAGCAACAGAGGUUCAUCCCAGCAGGACCCCCCUGGCCAUCAGCUGAACUCAAAUAGCACAUAGCUACACACCAAUGGACUUUUUCAAACUGUUUUUCAGCAAUGACGCAGCUAAAACCCAUUUGUCACCGUACAAAUAAAGAAGCUCUUAAAAAAAAUUGCCAGUGACGAAAAAUAUAAAUGGAUUGACCUCAACAUCCAGGUGUUUUUCAAGUCUGUGGGACUGACUUUCUUCUUUGCAUUGAUAAAAGUGCAUAAUGUACAAGUUUACUAGAAAAGGAACGCAACUUUCAGUGUGCCACUUCCAGCUAACGUGAUGCCACAGAAGAUGAUGGCAGAUGAUAUUUUGGAACAUCCACAUGAGUGAGCCAGAGAAAGAUGUUGAGAAUGGCAAAAAGAUGGACACCAGAUUAUGACCCUCUGUUUCGACUGAGGACCCUCAUGAACACCAUUAGCGAUGCUUGCAGAGCAUUUUACCACCCCAGGCAGAACCUUUCAAUUCAUGAGGGGAUGGUGGCGUUAAGGACCGUUAUUACACAAGGAGACCAGAUGAACUAAAAAUACUCCUAUGGAGAAAAUUGUUUAGAGGCCAGAGGGUUCGUUAAAGUACACCAGUAGUCAACAUUUAGCCUUUUAGUGCAGAUAUGGUGACAAUGUUACACCUCACUUAAUUUCCACUCAGUUACAAGACACUUCCAAACCCCUUCUAUAGCUCAAAGUGUUUUUACAAAAAAUCUCCCGAGUCAAAUUGGUGAGAAUUCACGUCUAAAUUAAAAACUGCUGCUCUCCUGCAUACUUUUAUUUCCUUGUUGUAUUUGGGGAAACUUAAUAGGUUUACUUACUACUCUGCUUGCUAAAGUUUUGCUGCCUCCAUCCAUAUUGCUUAGCUUCUGUGCUAAUACUCUGACAGCUUCUCCAAACGGGAACAUGUAGACUGGCUAUGGAUAAGUACCUGGUGCCACCCCACUUAAAAAUAAAUCCAAAAUAUCCAGUAGUAGUAAAUGAG